GCUCGCGUAGCCUAAUCGGAUAGGGCGUCAGAUAUUGCGGGUUCAAGUCCCGCCGUGAGUG
rnacentral:tRNA from 1 species